rnacentral:rRNA from 1 species
CCUACGGGUGGCAGCAGUGGGGAAUAUUGGACAAUGGGGGGAACCCUGAUCCAGCGACGCCGCGUGAGUGAAGAAGUAUUUCGGUAUGUAAAGCUCUAUCAGCAGGGAAGAAAGAAAUGACGGUACCUGACUAAGAAGCCCCGGCUAACUACGUGCCAGCAGCCGCGGCAAUACGUGGGGGGCAAGCGUUAUCCGGAUUUACGGGGUGGAAAGGGAGCGUAGACGGCGAUGCAAGUCUGAAGUGAAAGGCGGGGGCCCAACCCCGGGCCUGCUCGUGGAACUGCGUGGCUGGAGUGAAGGGGGGGCAGGCGGAAUUCGUGGUGUAGCGGUGAAAUGCGUAGAUAUCAGGAGGAACACCGGUGGCGAAGGCGGCCUGCUGGACUGCAACUGACGUUGAGGCCCGAAAGCGUGGGGAGCAAACAGGAUUAGAUACCCCAGUAGUC